GCCGGGUUGGUGGAAUUGGCAGACACAGGAGCUUUAAGCCCUCCCGUUAAUUCGUACGAGUUCGAGUCUCGUACCCGGCACCA
rnacentral:tRNA from 1 species